GAUGAACGCUGGCGGCGUGCUUAACACAUGCAAGUCGAACGGUGAACACGGAGCUUUCUCUGUGGGAUCAGUGGCGAACGGGUGAGUAACACGUGAGCAACCUGCCCCUGACUCUGGGAUAACCGCUGGAAACUGCGUCUAAUACUGGAUAUGUGACGUGACCGCAUGGUCUGCGUUUGGAAAGAUUUUUCGGUUGGGGAUGGGCUCGCGGCCUAUCAGCUUGUUGGUGAGGUAAUGGCUCACCAAGGCGUCGACGGGUAGCCGGCCUGAGAGGGUGACCGGCCACAUUGGGACUGAGACACGGCCCAGACUCCUACGGGAGGCAGCAGUGGGGAAUAUUGCACAAUGGGCGCAAGCCUGAUGCAGCAACGCCGCGUGAGGGAUGACGGCCUUCGGGUUGUAAACCUCUUUUAGCAGGGAAGAAGCGAAAGUGACGGUACCUGCAGAAAAAGCGCCGGCUAACUACGUG
rnacentral:rRNA from 1 species